UAAAAGAUCGGCUGUCUCAGCCGGAAGCCUUCUAUAUCUUCUUUCCCUAAUUUAUGGUGACUCCUGCUGAUUUCUCAGUCCAUCAGUGCCUCAAAUCAGAGCCUCCUGGUGGUCAGUGACUCAUCUUUAUCUUAUGAGGUAAAAGUCAAGAAAUCUAUUUUUGUCAGGUGACAGACAUCAAGUAACUUGAGUCUUCCCAUGAGGAGAGGAGUGUCCUCCACACCAGCAGCAUGGUGAUUGGUCCCAUGAAGCAGGAACAUGCUGAAGCAGCCAUGAGGACAACUCUUUUGAAAAGGCUGGGGCUUCCAUUGGCUCUGGGGGAAAGUCUAAGUGAUCUUCUGAAAGCUGAUUCUUGCAUAUAUUCUUAUCAAACUUUCCUGAUGGGUCCAGAGAAGGAAAAAGAGAAAGAGUCUUACAGCUCAUGAUUUACUGAGAUUUUCUCAUCACAAUAAAGCAUCAAAAUG